AUUCCAGCUCCAAUAGCGUAUAUUAAAGUUGUUGCAGUUAAAAAGCUCGUAGUUGGAUUUCUGGCAUGAUGCGCCUGGCCCGCUCCGAUUACGGAUGUGUGUGCUAGUGCGCGUCUGCCAUCCAUUUACAGAAUGUAUCUACCCUCCAUUGGGCCGGAUAUGUGAUGUAAAUCUUUUACUUUGAAAAAAUUAGAGUGUUUAAAGCAGGCAUUUGCUAUGAAUACAUUAGCAUGGAAUAAUAAUCUAGGACUUCGGUUUUAUUUUGUUGGUUUCUAAAUCUGGAGUAAUGAUUGAUAGGGAUAGUUGGGGGUGCUAGUAUUUAGGGGCCAGAGGUGAAAUUCUUGGAUUCUCUAAAGACUAACUUAUGCGAAAGCAUUCACCAAGGAUGUCUUCAUUG
rnacentral:rRNA from 1 species